rnacentral:rRNA from 1 species
AACAAGGUUUCCGUAGGUGAACCUGCGGAAGGAUCAUUAAUGAACCUUUGAGGGUUGAGCUGGCGAUUUACUUCGCAUGUGCUUACCCUCUCAUCCUUUAUACACCUGUGCACCUUUUGAGGGGAUAGUAGGCAUGCCUCUGGUGUGUCGAGAUCCCCUCUAACACAUACACUUUAUUUAUUAUCGAAUGUUCAAACGCUUAACAGCAUUUAAAUACAACUUUUAACAACGGAUCUCUUGGCUCUCGCAUCGGUGAAGAACGCAGCGAAAUGCGAUAAGUAAUGUGAAUUGCAGAAUUCAGUGAAUCAUCGAAUCUUUGAACGCACCUUGCGCUCCCUGGUAUUCCGGGGAGCACGCCUGUUCGAGCGUCAUGAAGCUCUCAAACAUCUCCUUUUCUUUAUUGCGAAGGUAGAUGGUUGGAUUUGGACUCUGCCGUGUAACAAACGGCUGGCCCGAAAGAUAUUAGCUGAUCCUAGUGAGACUUGGUUCUACUCGGCGUGAUAAUUAUCUAACGUCGAGGACAUCGCAAGAUGGCCAGAUCGAAACUUUAUGGAUUGCUUCUAAUCGUCUUCAUCGACAAAUUUUAUCAAUCUGACCUCGAAUCAGGCGGGACUACCCGCUGAACUUAAGCAUA